rnacentral:rRNA from 1 species
UACGUAGGGGGCAAGCGUUGUCCGGAUUUAUUGGGCGUAAAGAGCGUGUAGGCGGCCUGAUAGGUCGGUUGUGAAAACUGGAGGCUUAACCUUCAGACGUCGGCCGAAACCAUCUGGCUAGAGUCCGGAAGAGGAGAGUGGAAUUCCUGGUGUAGCGGUGAAAUGCGCAGAUAUCAGGAAGAACACCCGUGGCUAAGGCGGCUCUCUAGUACGGUACUGACGCUGAGACGCGAAAGCGUGGGGAGCGAAGCAGG